GGCGAAAUAGGUUAGUUGACUGGCCUUGUCUUGAGAGGCGUCAUCAGGACCGGUUCGGGAUUUGGGUCAUGAUAGCUUUCCUUUUUUUUAGAAAAAAAAUCAAAAGCUCAUGAACCUCAACAUUGAUUAAUCAUUUCUAUUGCCAUACAAUUCUAAUCUGAACAAUCACAAAAAUUGAAUAAACCAAUGAUGUUGAACUUUCGACACAAAAAACAUAGCAAAAAUCAACAAAAUACUAAUUAAAAUAACUAAAAAGGAAACACAGCAAAAAUCGAAAAAAAACUAACAAAAAACUAUGAUAUUAGGAGCGAAGAGAGUAAUGAAAAGGAAGAAUGAACCACAAACGAAUCAAAACAAAGAGCCUCCAAACCGAAUCUUUUAUAGAUGAGCACAAAUUCUCCGAUAUACAUGAACAUCAGUUGGACUCUACGGAGCUAACGAAUUACGACCUCAUCCGCAACCUCAAACUCGACUAAAGGUUAUGUUCUAAGGGUAUUUUGGGAGCUGAUUUGGAGUGUUGAAAUGGGAGCUUUACAAGGCUGUUUAGAGGCGUUUUUCGUUUGUUUCAUCUCUAGGGGUGUAGGGAUUUGGGGAUUAGGUUCUCUAUAUAGAGGGAAUUAGGGUAUCUUUUAGAGAUGGGGAUAUUGGGU
rnacentral:lncRNA from 1 species